rnacentral:lncRNA from 1 species
GAAAGAACUGCUCUUACAGACUGAUUUUUCAAAGUACAACAUUACCUUAAAAGACAGAGCUGCACUUGGCAAUUCUCCUCAGCUUCUGUAUGGCAACACUGGGAUUACCUCUAGAGCCCACAACCUUAUAAGUCAUCCUGAAUGAUAAUCAGAACUCAAACUUGGUAUCAGAAUAUUUUUCACUGAUGAUAGCCUUUAGCAAGUCAAGUCUUAAGCAAUAAUUUGCAAGUAGUAUUAAAGGAUCACUUCAAUGGAGUGAUAAAAUCGAUGCUAGAAAUUAAUUCUAGACAAUAUGUGAUUAUUUCUGGGAAUUAACAAUGUUUUCUAACUGUGAAAUUGCUUAUUCUGAUUCUUUUUUUUUCCGUUUAUCUUAGGGCUGCUUUCUGUGCUGUUCUGUGACUUCUUUCCUCUUUCUUCUUUCUUCUUUUUUCUUUUUUCUUUUUUUUUUUUUCUUUUUUCCUUUCUUUUUUAUUUUCUAUUUUGUUAUUAUUUUCUUUUCAAAAGCAUGUAUCAGCAUUUGAAAGUUAUACCAAGAGAUGAAAAUUGUGUGUGUUUAUGAAAAAAAAAUUACUCUGAGCAAGUUCUGGGAUGAAAUACAAGAGUCAUGCUGUUGAAAUCUGUCUGUCACUUCUGCAGAAGGACAAAACCUGCUGAGGUCCCAUGCCAAAUCUCUGUAGGACCUGAUGGAGACAGUGAAAGGCAUUUGGACAUGGUGUUCUUUCUGGCAGAUGCUGAUAUACUGGCUAUGCUCUGAAGGAAGGGUAUUUACAAACCACUGCUUUUAUCCCCUGUAUGUCCUGUUUGCAUUUAUCAUCCUUUCUACAUUGUCUGGUAUCCUACUCCGAACAGCAGCCAAAUCUUCUGCUGAAUGAAUCAACAGUGACCUCAAGUACAAGCUCAUUUAUUUGGUAUCAUUUCCUUUACUAAUUUUCAGUUGCAGUAGUAAACUGCUAUGUCAAGAUCAGUAUUUUAACCUUGUUAAAGACUACAAGCAGACUGUUACCAAACAAAAGCUUUGGUAAGGAGAACUGCUAGUUAUGAUUUUAGAACUGCUGGCUGUAAUACAACUUUCUUAAUGCAAGAAGUGGAUGAAACUGGGAGAAAAUUCUUUCUGAAUAUAGUAAUAUUAUUUACAGUAUCCUAUCUGACUAGGUAUGACUCCACAGAAAGCCUGAACUCUUGGUUAUUUUCCUCUUUGUUCCAAGGCAUAGCAUACUGCAUUUCUUAUACUUUAUGUACCUCAUAGUGAACACAAUCCAAACCUAAGAUUCAGUUAAAUGCAGUUGUACAUAUUGUCUCAAUUCUAGGAUCA